UAACACAUGCAAGUCGAGCGAAGCACUUUGCUUUGAUUUCUUCGGGAUGAAGAGCUUAGUGACUGAGCGGCGGACGGGUGAGUAACGCGUGGGUAACCUGCCUCAUACAGGGGGAUAACAGUUAGAAAUGACUGCUAAUACCGCAUAAGGCCACAGCACCGCAUGGUGCAGGGGUAAAAACUCCGGUGGUAUGAGAUGGACCCGCGUCUGAUUAGGUAGUUGGCGGGGUAACGGCCCACCAAGCCGACGAUCAGUAGCCGACCUGAGAGGGUGACCGGCCACAUUGGGACUGAGACACGGCCCAAACUCCUACGGGAGGCAGCAGUGGGGAAUAUUGCACAAUGGGGGAAACCCUGAUGCAGCGACGCCGCGUGAGCGAAGAAGUAUUUCGGUAUGUAAAGCUCUAUCAGCAGGGAAGAAAAUGACGGUACCUGACUAAGAAGCCCCGGCUAACUACGUGCCAGCAGCCGCGGUAAUACGUAGGGGGCAAGCGUUAUCCGGAUUUACUGGGUGUAAAGGGAGCGUAGACGGAGCAGCAAGUCUGAUGUGAAAACCCGGGGCUCAACCCCGGGACUGCAUUGGAAACUGUUGAUCUGGAGUGCCGGAGAGGUAAGCGGAAUUCCUAGUGUAGCGGUGAAAUGCGUAGAUAUUAGGAGGAACACCAGUGGCGAAGGCGG
rnacentral:rRNA from 1 species